rnacentral:rRNA from 1 species
AUUGAACGCUGGCGGCAUGCUUUACACAUGCAAGUCGAACGGUAACAGGCCGCAAGGUGCUGACGAGUGGCGCACGGGUGAGUAAUGCAUCGGAACGUGCCCAGUCUUGGGGGAUAACUACUCGAAAGAGUAGCUAAUACCGCAUACGAUCUAUGGAUGAAAGCGGGGGACCGUAAGGCCUCGCGCGAUUGGAGCGGCCGAUGUCAGAUUAGGUAGUUGGUGGGGUAAAGGCUCACCAAGCCAACGAUCUGUAGCUGGUCUGAGAGGACGACCAGCCACACUGGGACUGAGACACGGCCCAGACUCCUACGGGAGGCAGCAGUGGGGAAUUUUGGACAAUGGGCGCAAGCCUGAUCCAGCAAUGCCGCGUGCAGGAAGAAGGCCUUCGGGUUGUAAACUGCUUUUGUACGGAACGAAACGGCUCUGGUUAAUACCCGGGGCUAAUGACGGUACCGUAAGAAUAAGCACCGGCUAACUACGUG